rnacentral:rRNA from 1 species
GAUGAACGCUGGCGGCGUGCCUAACACAUGCAAGUCGAGCGAACAGACGAUGAUCUUGCUCCUCUCACGUUAGCGGCAGACGUGAGUGUCACACGUGUAUAACCCACCUAUAAUACUGGUAUCUUUUCGGAACACCGGCUCAAAUACCGUAUGAUCUAUUGAUCCACAUUGUUGGUUGGAAAAAUACGGUUGUUCUGUCUCUUCUCGAUGGAUCCGGGCCGCUUUAGCUAGUAGGUAAUGUAACGGCUUAUCAAGGCAACGAUGCGUAGCCGACCUGAGAGAGUGAUCGGCCACACUGGAACUGAGACACGGUCCAGACUCCUACGGGAGGCAGCAGUAGGGAAUGGUACGCAAUGGGCGAAAGCCUGACGGAGCAACGCCGCGUGAGUGAUGAAGGUCUUCGGAUCGUAAAACUCUGUUAUUAGGGAAGAACAAAUGUGUAAGUAACUAUGCACGUCGUGACGGUACCUAAUCAGAAAGCCACGGCUAACUACGUG